GACGAACGCUGGCGGCGUGCUUAACACAUGCAAGUCGAACGGAAAGGCCCUGCUUUUGUGGGGUGCUCGAGUGGCGAACGGGUGAGUAACACGUGAGUAACCUGCCCUUGACUUUGGGAUAACUUCAGGAAGCUGGGGCUAAUACCGGAUAGGAGCUCCUGCUGCAUGGUGGGGGUUGGAAAGUUUCGGCGGUUGGGGAUGGACUCGCGGCUUAUCAGCUUGUUGGUGGGGUAGUGGCUUACCAAGGCUUUGACGGGUAGCCGGCCUGAGAGGGUGACCGGCCACAUUGGGACUGAGAUACGGCCCAGACUCCUACGGGAGGCAGCAGUGGGGAAUAUUGCACAAUGGGCGGAAGCCUGAUACAGCAACGCCGCGUGCGGGAUGACGGCCUUCGGGUUGUAAACCGCUUUCGCCUGUGACGAAGCGUGAGUGACGGUAAUGGGUAAAGAAGCACCGGCUAACUACGUG
rnacentral:rRNA from 1 species